AGCGGCAAACGGGUGAGUAACACAUGGGAAACCUCCCUCAGAAUGGGGAACAUCUCCGAGAAAUCGGAGCUAAUACCGCAUAAGACCACAGUCCGGCAUCGGACAGGGGGUAAAAGCAGUAAUGCGUUUUGAGAUGGUCCUGUGUCCUAUCAGCUAGUUGGUGAGGUAACGGCUCACCAAGGCUAAGACGGGUAUCCGGCCUGAAAGGGUGAACGGACACACUGGAACUGAGACACGGUCCAGACUCCUACGGGAGGCAGCAGUGGGGAAUUUUGGACAAUGGGGGAAACCCUGAUCCAGCGACGCCGCGUGAAGGAUGAAGGCCCUUCGGGUUGUAAACUUCUUUUGGAGGGGACGAAUAAAUUGACGGUACCCUCAGAAAAAGCCACGGCUAACUACGUGCCAGCAGCCGCGGUAAUACGUAGGUGGCGAGCGCUACUCGGAAUUACUAGGCGUAAAGCGUAUGUAGGCGGUUGUAUAAGUCUAUGGUGAAAUUUCCUGGCUCAACUGGGAAGGGACAUAGAUACUGUAUGGCUUGAGUGUUGGAGGGGGAGACGGAAUUCCUGGUGUAGCGGUGAAAUGCGUAGAUAUCAGGAGGAACACCGAUGGCGAAAGCAGUCUCCUGGCCAAAUACUGACGCUGAGGUACGAAAGCUAGGGUAGCUAACAGGAUUAGAUACCCUGGUAGUCCUAGC
rnacentral:rRNA from 1 species